UCCGAUGCUCUCUUCUGGUGUGUCUGAAGACAGUAACUGUACUUUACUCAUAAAUAAAAGAAAUAUUUAAAAAUUAAAAAAAUAAAAUAAAACAAUGUAGCCAGGUGGUGGUGGCGGUGCAAGUCUUUAAUCCCAGCACUUGGGAGGCAGAGGCAGGCAGAUUUCUGAGUUCCAGGACAGCCAGGGCUACACAGAGAAACCCUGUCUCAAAAAACAAAACAAAACAAAACAAAACAAAACAAAACAAAAACAAUGUAAAAAUCAGAGGAAUAACAGCAAUAGGAGGCCAGUUAGCUUUGGGAUUAUCCCAGCAGAAUGAGACAGACAUGCUCAGGGCCUCUGGUCACUCUAUGGCACGAGUGUUGCUGUUAGUGGCUGUCUUCAUAGCUUGAGCAAACUAGCAACAGCAGCAUCCUCCUCAGAGAGAGAAAGUGGAUGAAUCUUCUUUCCCUGAUGCCAGCCAGUGGAAAUGCCUGAGAAAGCAAGGAGGGAAAACUGACAGACGACGGAGGUGGCUUUGAACUGUUGAUUUUUUUCCCCUCUCUCCCUUCCUCCCUCUGUCCAAGUGCUGGGACGAUGAGCAUGAGCCACUGCACAUAGCCCGUGUUGUGCUGGGGCUUUGUGUGAGCUAGGAAAGUGCUAGGCCAUCUGAGCUGACUUCCCAGUCCUUUCCUCCUUUAUUAGAGGGAAAACCCUUUUUAGAAGGUUCUUAGCAGAAUUCCAGCCACCCUCCAGCCUUAAUGGAUUUCAUGAUUUGAUCCUGUGGGUCGGGUUUAUCAAUGCUGAAACAAAUCAGUAUGUUUCCAAGGAGAGUGCCACUAUACCUGGCUCUUUAUAUUGUAUUUUAUUUGUAUGAGUGUUUUUGUUUUGCCUGCAUGCAGGUCAAAAAAAGAGGGCAUCAGAUCUUCUGGGACUGAAGUCACAGCUUUGAGCUGCUGUAUAGGUACUGAGAACCACGCUCUUAACUGCUGAGCUGUCUCUCCAUUGGCCCUCCUUUCUCCCUCCAUUCCCUUCCCUUCCCCUCCCUCUUCCUUCCUUCCUUCCUUCCUUCCUUCCUUCCUUCCUUCCUUCCUUCCUUCCUUCCUUCCUUUCUUUUUUUCUUUCUUUCUUUCUUUCUUUCUUUCUUUCUUUCUUUCUUUCUUUCUUUCUUUCUUUCUUUCUUUCUUUCUUUCUUUCUUUCUUUCUUUCUUUCUUUCUUUUUCUUCUUCCUCUUCUUCUUUCUUUUUUAUCUCUUCUUUCUUUGGGUUUUUCCCAGACAGGGUUUCUUUGUGUAGCCCUGGCUGUCCUGGAACUCACUCUGUAGACCAGGCUGGCCUGGAACUCAGAAAUCCACCUGCCUCUGCCUUCCAAGUGCUUGGAUCAAAGGCGUGCGCCACCACCGCCCGGCUUUCUCUUUCUUUCUUGAAGUUAGGUCCAGGCUACCCUGAAUUCACUCUGUAACAUAGACUGGCCUUCAUCAUGAUCCCUGGUUAAACCACCACUCCUGGAGGGGAGUAUAUGUGUAUAGGCUUGCAUCUAGAGUUUGAAUGACACAGGUCAUUCUCCCUGACGGGAUAUUGGUUUCCUUAACAGAAAUGGCAGAAGAGAAAAUGAGUUCCAGGACAGCUAGAGCUACACAUUAUGACCCUGUUUUUAAAAGUCUUCAACUCAGAACACAGACUAAAAUGGGGUUAGGGUUUAUAUAGUAUCUAGAAGCCAGAGCCACAACAUAGCUUUGCUGAUAGCCAGGAAGCUGAGGGCUUACUUAGUUUAUUACAGUUUAUGGCUCUUAGGGUGUAGUAGACACUUGGAGCCCAGGACCUCAGUCCAAUACCCAGAGCCACAUAGUGGAAGGAGCCAGCCAAGUCCUUCAUGUGUUCUCUGACCUGCACUGUGGCAUUCAUGCACAUGUACACACGUGACAAAUAAGCUUGAAAAUGAAACAGCCAGGGCUAUACAGAGAAACCCUGUCUC
rnacentral:lncRNA from 1 species